rnacentral:rRNA from 1 species
CUCAGUUCGGAUUGGAGGCUGAAACCCGCCUCCAUGAAGUUGGAUUCGCUAGUAAUCGCGCAUCAGCCAUGGCGCGGUGAAUACGUUCCCGGGCCUUGUACACACCGCCCGUCAAGCCAUGGGAGCCGGGGGUGCCUGAAGUUCGUUACCGCAAGGAUCGACCUAGGGCAAAACUGGUGACUGGGGCUAAGUCGUAACAAGGUAAC